AGCUCCAAUAGCGUAUAUUAAAGUUGUUGCAGUUAAAAAGCUCGUAGUUGGAUUUCUGGUAGAGUGACUCCGGCCAGCAUGCUUGCUUGGUCAGGGGCGCCCUGCCAUCCUUCGGUUAACCUUCAGGGUGUUCAUUCAUCUUGGAGCGGCUCCGAUAUUUUACCUUGAGAAAAUUAGAGUGUUUCAGGCAGGCUAUAGCCGGAAUACAUUAGCAUGGAAUAAUAGAAAAGGACUACUACCUCUUCUGUUGGUCUGGGAGGUCGCAGUAAUGAUUAAUAGGGAUAGUUGGGGGCAUUAGUACUUAACUGUCAGAGGUGAAAUUCUCCGAUUUGUUAAAGACUAACUUAUGCGAAAGCAUUUGCCAAGGAUGUUUUCA
rnacentral:rRNA from 1 species